CACUACGUGCUACUACGUGCUACAAGUCUCAAGUCACCACUUUUUUGUGAUCUUUUAUCGUUUCCAAUUUCGCUUCUGGCAACGUGGUCACUUGUUCGCGCACCACGCUGUUGUCUCUGGUGGCGGUCCAGCCCAGUCCACAUUUCCACAAAUAUCUCAACGAUUGUAAUGUUAGAGCUUGUGCCCAACGGAGAUGUGUAUCUGUCCUCUUCGAUAGCUCGCGAAACCUUUUCUUAUUCUUUUACCAAAUAGAAGCAGAUGUACAAGACGGGAUUUUGGUGAAUUGGUGGUCUCCUAUACGCUGAGGUUAAUUGUUCCACCCCCUCUUCCAUCCAAACCCGACAUUUUUGUAGAGCAAGAAACGCCAAUUUUUAAGUUCUCUCUUUGAAGUCUAUCAUAUUGAGGGAAUAUAAUUCGUCCGUUUCACCACUCUCCAUAAUCAAUUGAAUCCAUCAGUCAAAUCAUUUUACGCUCGCUGUUUGUAUUUUCCCAGCAGACUGUUUAUAUCCUCAUAUUGGAGCAAAAAUGAAAUAAGCUCAUGUAAAGGAUGACGUGCAGAUUCCAUGAUGUUCAAUACGCUGGGCCGGUACUCGGGUCUGACACCAGAGGGGGUGAAACAAUUCCUUAUAGAAUUCUGAUUUUAAUUACUACGCAUAAUCUUAGCUUCAUGACAAGGCACGGCAGUCGUUUCAUUUAUUAGUGUAGUCUUUUAAAGUUUGUCGAAAAAAAUUGGCUUUGAGGUAUUUUUAGAGCUACCUACUCUGAAUUGCCUCUAGGUCUUUGAAUAAAUAAUGUAAUUGGUCCAUUUCACAUCCAUUCCGAUCCAUUCAGUAAGAUUGUGACCGCGCAGCUUAUAAGUUUCAGCUUGAACGCUUUGGCUACAAAAUGAGGAGCGAUUUCCGUUUGCCGUUGUCCUCUGAACCAAGUCGUUGGAUUAAUAAGCGAAUUUGAGUUGGUUUCUACUUCAUUUGACUCUGACAUAAUGACUAUGCAUAGUAAUGACUGAAUUGCCGCCCUUAUCUUCCCUUUUGUGUCUACAUUUCUCGAUCAUUUUGCGCGUGAAAUGUUUUGGCUUUGACUUCAGUGUAGAAAUCGCCACGAGUAGCCUAACUGUCACCGUUUCAGAAGGACUUCUCUUGCCUUGUUAGAAUUACCCAAGUUAACAAUUGCAUUGAUCAUUUUGUCUGGCUUUCUUUCCGUUUUGCCACUUUUUGGGAUUUCAGAUUUGUCAUUGGUUAUUUUUGAUUCAAUUUGGAAAACGUUUUGUUAACGUUUUUCUAUUUUCCACCUUACCAAAUGCGGCGACGUUCUAAUAGAAAGAUAUCGCGUA